rnacentral:hammerhead_ribozyme from 1 species
GCACUGGUGAGGAGCCCCAUAAUAGGACGAAACGGCCGUCCAGUGC